AAACCAGCUGGGGAGGAUGGAAACACACAGAACAUGAGCUCCAGGGCAGGAGCUUCAAUUCUGAUGAAGCACGUAAUAUCUGUGAUAUCUGAAGUUAGAAAAUAAGAAAGAAUGUGAAGGGAAAAUACCCAAAUGUCCCAUGUACUAUCUAACUUGCAUCCAGCAUCCAUUAUGUGCCAGGCAUUGUACUGGGUGCUGGAGCUGUGUGACCAACCAGCUCAAGCCCAUCAUCUCAUGAAACCUAUGUUAAUGGAGGAAGAGACACAAAAAUAGAUGAUAACCAAAAUAAAUACUUGGGGAAAAUGAUCAGAGCACUGAGAAGAAAAAGUAGACAGAUGGAAAACAGGACAAGGAACAAUUUUGGAAAUGUCCACCAGCAAAAGAAACUUUCAGCAGAACAUCAGGCUGAUAUGAAUACCACUUCAAAAUGAUUAAGACUCACCUCUUAUUAAUCAUCACUUACCAAUAAAGAACUUUUGACCAGA